UACGUAGGGCGCAAGCGUUGUCCGGAAUUAUUGGGCGUAAAGAGCUCGUAGGUGGCUUGUCACGUCGGGUGUGAAAGCUUGGGGCUUAACUCCAGGUCUGCAUUCGAUACGGGCAGACUAGAGUUCGGUAGGGGAGUCUGGAAUUCCUGGUGUAGCGGUGAAAUGCGCAGAUAUCAGGAGGAACACCGGUGGCGAAGGCGGUUCUCUGGGCAUGAUCUGACGCUGAGGAGCGAAAGUGUGGGGAGCGAACAGG
rnacentral:rRNA from 1 species